rnacentral:rRNA from 1 species
UACGAAGGUGGCAAGCGUUAUUCGAAAUCACUGGGCUUAAAGGGCGCGUAGGCGGACAUACAAGUGUCUUGUGAAAUCCCUCGGCUUAACCGAGGAAUUGCUCGGCAAACUGUAUGUCUUGAGUCAAGUAGGGGUGUGUGGAACUCUUGGUGGAGCGGUGGAAUGCGUAGAUAUCAAGAGGAACGCCGAAGGUGAAGACAGCACACUAGGCUUGUACUGACGCUGAGGCGCGAAAGCGUGGGGAGCGAACAGG